CAGAAGUGUUUAUUUCUUAAGCUUUUAGAUGCUAUGAACAAGAAAGAACAAAGUCCUGCUUCUGACUUAUGAACUUACAAAGUUUGCUAUCCUAUACUUGUUUUCUGCUCCAUCAAAUCUCUUAACCAUGCUCCAGAAUUGACAGCGUUUGAUUCUUUCCUGAAAACAAGUCAUAGGAAGACACAACAGUAAAAUCCCAGGGGUGUCCAAGGUUUAAUUCAGUCUCAGUUUGAGAAGUCUGCCUAAAAGCCCGUGCACCAGGAUGCUUGUGAUGACAUGAGCCCCCAUAAAAGUCUGUGAACGUUUCAGCUGAGGACAGUGCCUUGAAGGUACAACUUCUGUAAAGCUCUGCCCCCUGACUCCAAGCUCCUCAGCAUCCACCAGUGGCCAUGGGCUAGAAAAUCCAGAGGACAAGACAAGAAGUCCCUCACCUGCAUGCUGCUGACCAGCAGGGCUCUCCAGCAAGGAGGAAGCAAGGAUCUGACCCCUUUCCUUAGAGACAUUGAUAAUAACUUCCUGGAAAGGCCUUUUAUUCCAGGUUUGCAAACCAGCUUUGAGUAUUAUGGCGUAUUUCCAGUAUCGCAUCACUGAUGGGAUCAGGUCAUGGGGGGAAAAUGGAAUAAUUAAGCUUUUUUUUCCCUUGUCAAAGCAACGGUUCACAUGGAAAUGUCUACGGUCACCGGAAUAAACAUUUC
ensembl:lncRNA